ensembl:lncRNA
GCAACAAGCUGAUAACCUCUGGAUUAAUGGAGACCUUUUUUUCCACCUGUCCCCAUCAAUGUCUGUUUGAGCAACUAUUGUGUAGGAAAACAAAUUGGUUGACUGGUCAUAACAUUCAACUGUUUUUCUAAUGUUUUGCCAUCAAGAAGAGACACAGCCUCAGGAUGAAAUGUGGCUAAAGGCUGGAAUUUCUUUUUCAUGGACCCCCACCUCAUGGACAGAUGCAUGCAAUGAAUUAUUACAUUUCUCUCUCCAAAAGCUGGGAGUUUCUCACCCAACAACUUCAUCACCUAUGUGGCACACUGGUAAAGAAUCCUCCUGCCUGUGCAAAAGACGCAGUUUUGAUUCCUGGGUCGGGAAGAUCCCCUGAAGGAAAUGGCAACCCACUCCAGUAUCCUUGCUUGGAAAAUUCCAUGGACAGAGGAGCCUGGUGGACUACAGUCCAUGGGGUCACAAGAGCCGGACACAACUGAGUGACUUGCACUUUCACUAGAUAGCAAGGCUGGCUUCUUUGGCAGCCCCCUUAAUAGUGGAUGACCUCUUCCGCAAAGCACCAUGUUCAACUAUCCACUUUGUUUUUGUCUGAUUUCCUUUGGCAGUAAGCUCUCCUGAGGUCUAACAGCAUUCUCAUCUGAAGAAUUCCUAAUCUAGCAGCCCCUCAACGCCCAGCCCCAGCAGUCACCAACAACCCAAUGCCACACUUCCAGUUCCUCUUGGGUCACUAUUCUAUAUACAGCCCCCCAACAAAUCAAAUAGUAUUAGUAAUUAAAUC